rnacentral:lncRNA from 1 species
GGAAUUUCUAACCAUAUAUAUAUAUAUAUAUAUAUAUAGCUACACAAUACAGUAAGACUGGGUUUAUAGUGAAAACUGUUUGCUAUGAAAUUGGGGGGGAAAAUGGUGGUGGCUUAAAAGUAGUAGUAGUAGGCCUUUCAGUUUUACUAUCAUAUUAUAUAAAUAACUUCCAUUCAAAGUAUCUGCUUAAGAUGGCAGUUUAUUUGUAUAAUAGAUCUAUUUAUCUAUUAAUAAUGUGGAUACAGCGGGAUAUAAGAACAGGCAUUAGCCUACCACAGUCAUGUGGUAUCCAUGUCGGUAAAAAUGGCUGAGAGUGCGAGAUUCUCGACACAACAAAUAGAGACAACUACAGUUUGUGUAAACCUUAGAUCUUUAUUGAGAGAGAAUAUUUUACAUUUCAAGCCUGACAGUCAUUGUCAGACUGUUAAUAAAUACCUUUUUAACAAUAGGAGUCGAAGUCCUCUUAUUAAUCAGCUGAUUUAUUGUUUUAUAUACAAAAGUCUUUAGUUCAAUUUAUAUCAACAAGCAUAGAAGACACUCAUACAAAACAAGAAGAGAUAAUGGCACAAUGGUAGGCAUUACUGUCUUGAAGUUUCCCUUUACUUUUUCUGUAUACUCUUAGGAGUGUGUCUGAUUCUCCAAUGGGUUUCGUUUUUUUUGUUUGAUGAUCGAUUUUGCUGGCUUAUGGUGACUGCUUUUGGAGGUAGCAACUUCAGUGAGAGAUGAGAGAUUUGUUUUUGGGGGGUGAGCGACUGACUGAGUCGUUAGUUCUUCCCUUUUGUCCCAUUUGCCCCCUCACAUUCUUCUAGUCUUCGCAUCACUCGGGUGUUACCCAAUUCUUUAUAUAAUCAUCUUUCUUAAUUGUUCAUUGUUCUUUCUUUAUUGUAGAGAACAGAGUACGUUGGACCAACUGGAACGAUAAACAAAGUGGUCAUUUAAACAUUCUAAGAUGUCACUCCUAGUUGAAUUACAGUAUGGUGUAGAGUGACACCU